rnacentral:lncRNA from 1 species
GCCUGCACCUGCACCCGACAUGUUGGAAGAUCCGUCCACAUAGAGGGUCCAAAAGCGAUCAGAGGGAUUGGCCUCUUCGUUGGGGGAGUUCGGUUGAGACUUCAAGUUAUCAACUUUGCUUUGCUCAGGUUUAGCCUCCUCUGGGAUGGUGCACUCUACUAGGAAAUCUGCCAGUAUUUGGGCCUUCACUGCUGGUCUGGG